rnacentral:rRNA from 1 species
GAUGAACGCUGGCGGCGUGCCUAAUACAUGCAAGUCGAGCGAAUGGAUUAAGAGCUUGCUCUUAUGAAGUUAGCGGCGGACGGGUGAGUAACACGUGGGUAACCUGCCCAUAAGACUGGGAUAACUCCGGGAAACCGGGGCUAAUACCAGAUAACAUUUUGAACCGCAUGGUUCGAAAUUGAAAGGCGGCUUCGGCUGUCGCGGAUGGAUGGACCCGAGUCGCAUUAGCUAGUUGGUGAGGUAACGGCGCACCAAGGCAACGAUGCGUAGCCGAACUGGGAGGGUGAUCGGCCACACUGGGACUGAGACACGGCCCAGACUCCUACGGGAGGCAGCAGUAGGGAAUCUUCCGCAAUGGACGAAAGUCUGACGGAGCAACGCCGCGUGAGUGAUGAAGGCUUUCGGGUCGUAAAACUCUGUUGUUAGGGAAGAACAAGUGCUAGUUGAAUAAGCUGGCACCUUGACGGUACCUAACCAGAAAGCCACGGCUAACUACGUGCCAGCAGCCGCCGUAA